rnacentral:rRNA from 1 species
GACAGAGGGUGCAAACGUUGUUCGGAAUUACUGGGCGUAAAGCGUGUGUAGGCGGUCUGACAAGUCGGAUGUGAAAGCCCCGGGCUCAACCCGGGAAGUGCACUCGAAACUGUCAGACUGGAGUGUCGGAGAGGUGGGUAGAAUUCUCGGUGUAGAGGUGAAAUUCGUAGAUAUCGAGAGGAAUACCGGCGGCGAAGGCGGCCCACUGGACGAACACUGACGCUGAGACACGAAAGCGUGGGGAGCAAACAGG